rnacentral:rRNA from 1 species
ACGGAGUACUUCGGUACUUAGUGGCGGACGGGUGAGUAACGCGUGAGAAUCUGCCUUCAGGUUCGGGACAACCACUGGAAACGGUGGCUAAUACCGAAUGUGCAGCGAUGUGAAAAAUUUAUUGCCUGAAGAUGAGCUCGCGUCUGAUUAGCUAGUAGGUGUGGUAAGAGCGCACCUAGGCGACGAUCAGUAGCUGGUCUGAGAGGAUGAUCAGCCACACUGGGACUGAGACACGGCCCAGACUCCUACGGGAGGCAGCAGUGGGGAAUUUUCCGCAAUGGGCGAAAGCCUGACGGAGCAAUACCGCGUGAGGGAGGAAGGCUCUUGGGUUGUAAACCUCUUUUCUCAAGGAAGAAAAAAAUGACGGUACUUGAGGAAUAAGCAUCGGCUAACUCCGUGCCAGCAGCCGCGGUAAUACGGAGGAUGCAAGCGUUAUCCGGAAUGAUUGGGCGUAAAGCGUCCGCAGGUGGCUGUGUAAGUCUGCUGUUAAAUAGUGAGGCUCAACCUCAUAAAGGCAGUGGAAACUACACGGCUAGAGUGCGUUCGGGGCAGAGGGAAUUCCUGGUGUAGCGGUGAAAUGCGUAGAGAUCAGGAAGAACACCGGUGGCGAAAGCGCUCUGCUAGGCCGCAACUGACACUGAGGGACGAAAGCUAGGGGAGCGA